rnacentral:rRNA from 1 species
GGCGGCGUGCUUAACACAUGCAAGUCGAACGGAAAGGCCCUGCUUUUGUGGGGUGCUCGAGUGGCGAACGGGUGAGUAACACGUGAGUAACCUGCCCUUGACUUUGGGAUAACUUCAGGAAACUGGGGCUAAUACCGGAUAGGAGCUCCUGCUGCAUGGUGGGGGUUGGAAAGUUUCGGCGGUUGGGGAUGGACUCGCGGCUUAUCAGCUUGUUGGUGGGGUAGUGGCUUACCAAGGCUUUGACGGGUAGCCGGCCUGAGAGGGUGACCGGCCACAUUGGGACUGAGAUACGGCCCAGACUCCUACGGGAGGCAGCAGUGGGGAAUAUUGCACAAUGGGCGGAAGCCUGAUGCAGCAACGCCGCGUGCGGGAUGACGGCCUUCGGGUUGUAAACCGCUUUCGCCUGUGACGAAGCGUGAGUGACGGUAAUGGGUAAAGAAGCACCGGCUAACUACGUGCCAGCAGCCGCGGUGAUACGUAGGGUGCGAGCGUUGUCCGGAUUUAUUGGGCGUAAAGGGCUCGUAGGUGGUUGAUCGCGUCGGAAGUGUAAUCUUGGGGCUUAACCCUGAGCGUGCUUUCGAUACGGGUUGACUUGAGGAAGGUAGGGGAGAAUGGAAUUCCUGGUGGAGCGGUGGAAUGCGCAGAUAUCAGGAGGAACACCAGUGGCGAAGGCGGUUCUCUGGGCCUUUCCUGACGCUGAGGAGCGAAAGCGUGGGGAGCGAACAGGCUUAGAUACCCUGGUAGUCCACGCUGUAAACGGUGGGUACUAGGUGUGGGGUCCAUUCCACGGGUUCCGUGCCGUAGCUAACGCUUUAAGUACCCCGCCUGGGGAGUACGGCCGCAAGGCUAAAACUCAAAGGAAUUGACGGGGCCCCGCACAAGCGGCGGAGCAUGCGGAUUAAUUCGAUGCAACGCGCAGAACCUUACCUGGGUUUGACAUGGAUCGGGAGUGCUCAGAGAUGGGUGUGCCUCUUUUGGGGUCGGUUCACAGGUGGUGCAUGGCUGUCGUCAGCUCGUGUCGUGAGAUGUUGGGUUAAGUCCCGCAACGAGCGCAACCCUUGUUCACUGUUGCCAGCACGUUAUGGUGGGGACUCAGUGGAGACCGCCGGGGUCAACUCGGAGGAAGGUGGGGAUGACGUCAAGUCAUCAUGCCCCUUAUGUCCAGGGCUUCACGCAUGCUACAAUGGCUGGUACAGAGAGUGGCGAGCCUGUGAGGGUGAGCGAAUCUCGGAAAGCCGGUCUCAGUUCGGAUUGGGGUCUGCAACUCGACCUCAUGAAGUCGGAGUCGCUAGUAAUCGCAGAUCAGCAACACUGCGGUGAAUACGUUCCCGGGGCUUGUACACACCGCCCGUCAAGUCACGAAAGUUGGUAACACCCGAAGCCGGUGGCCUAACCGUUGUGGGGGAGCCGUCGAAGGUGGGACUGGUGAUUAGGACUAAGUCAUAACAA